rnacentral:lncRNA from 1 species
UGUGCUAGCAUUGAUUUCUAGGGAGAUAAAAAUGUCUUUAAGGUUGUUGAAAUAAAAAGAAUGUAACAAAAAUAUCGAUUGAUCAGUGAGUGAAUGUGUGAGUGAAUUAGUUUUCUGAAGAGUUAGUUAGAGAGCAAAACUCUAAUUAACUUUUUAGCAAAUCAUAAUUAAUUUGUUGAUUGAUAGUUAAUUUGUUUUUAUUUUUAUAAGCAAAUAAUUGAAUUAUAAGGAGUACAAGGUGUACUCAACCCUUACAAUUCGGUGAACCUCCAUUAUAUAUUAUGGAGGCCGGCUAAUGAAUCAAUACACCAAUCAGAGAACUUAUAACAAGAAUUGUUCCCUAUAUAAUUUGUUGAUUAUCUAUUAGAUCUAUAAUAGAGUGUAUCAUUUUCUAUUGAGAUGAAUCUCUUUAUGAUCUUGUAAUUUUUAACAUAAUGCAAUAAAUAUUAGUUAAAAAAAAUAAUGCAAUAAAUAAAUUGGUUAUUUG